rnacentral:rRNA from 1 species
GGAAGUGGGGGGGCAGCGCGGAGGGUAAGAGGGGGGGGACGUGUGUUGAUGUGGAGUACGGGGCGUAAUGCGUGGGCCGGCUGAUGGUUAAGCGUGAUGUGAAAGGUGUGGGGUUAGACGAGGAAUAGCAGUGCGAGCUGGAGAACUAGAGUGUUGUAGAGGGGGGUAGAAUGCCAGGUGUAGCGGUGCAUGUCGUAGAGAACUGGGUGAAUACAGGUGGCGAAGGCGGCCCCCUGGACAAAGACUGACGCUCAUGUACGAAAGCGUGGGGAGCAAACAGGAUUAGAUACCCGUGUAGUC